GUGCUAACCUCGGCAGCACAUAUAAUAAAAUUGGAAUGAUACAGAGAAGAUUAGCAUGGCUCGGGCACAAGUAUGCCAUGCAAAUUCAUAAAGCUUUCCAUAUUUUU
ensembl:snRNA U6 U6 spliceosomal RNA